rnacentral:rRNA from 1 species
CCCAGACUCCUACGGGAGGCAGCAGUGGGGGAUAUUGCACAAUGGGGGAAACCCUGAUGCAGCGACGCCGCGUGGGCGAAGAAGUAUUUCGGUACGUAAAGCUCUAUCAGCAGGGAAGAAAAAAAGUCCUUUGGACUUUGGACGGUACCUGACCAGGAAGCCCCGGCUAACUACGUGCCAGCAGCCGCGGUAAUACGUAGGGGGCAAGCGUUAUCCGGAUUUACUGGGUGUAAAGGGAGCGUAGACGGCAGCGCAAGUCUGGAGUGAAAUGCCGGGGCCCAACCCCGGAACUGCUUUGGAAACUGUGCAGCUGGAGUGCAGGAGAGGUAAGCGGAAUUCCUAGUGUAGCGGUGAAAUGCGUAGAUAUUAGGAAGAACACCAGUGGCGAAGGCGGCUUUCUGGACUGAAACUGACGCUGAGGCACGAAAGCGUGGGGAGCGAACAGGAUUAGAUACCCGCGUAAU